AUCUUCCAACACUGAAGAAAGACAGAACUGCGCUUGUAGAAAGCUGUGAGUUUUGGGCUCUGUUGUAGUUGUUUUUUUUUUGUUGUAAUAAUGGAGAAGAUAGUGAGAUGCGUCCGGUGGGGUUAUGAGGUUAAUGCCUCUUCCGAUGAUUAAUGCAUGAACGCAAUUGACUCCUAUUUUCAACAGGUUCUUAGUUAUGGGAGGAACAUGAAAGUGAUUCUUGAAGCACCACUACACGACAAAGAUUGUGUUUUGGGGAACAUUUUAGCUGCUCAUUACCUUUCCUCAUGUGAUCCUUCCAAAGUUAAUCUCUACGUUAAAUCUGCGUCUAGUAAACUUGAACGCUCUACACCUUAUGAGAAAGCCGUUUUCGAGACUGUUACUUACUUGAUUUCAGAGGACAAGGAUGACGACUUGGCUUUUGAAAUGCACAUCGAGCUACUUAAAAGAUUCCCAAAGGACUUGGUCUAUCUGAAGAGAGCUCAGGUUUUAAGUUUCCAGAUGGCUAAGCCUGUUCCCUUUUUGAAUCUUGUUCAGCAGGUUCUACCUGAGAAUCAAGAUGAAAGUUAUAUACACGGUAUGCUUGCGUUCCCAUUGUUAGAACUUGGUCGAAUGGAAGAAGCCGCAGCUGCUUCCAGAAAAGGCUAUGGGAUAAACAAAGAAGACGCCUUGGCACAUCACUGCGUGAGUUGUUUCAAACAAGUUGACAUCUCAUUCAGCAUUUUAGGGUUUUCUUUUUCUUGUAAAGAUUUAACUUUGUUUGUUGCAGUUUUGUCAUGUUCUUCAACAUAAAUGUCAUUUUAAAGAAGCAGUGGAGUUCAUGGAAGAACUGGCAGAAUAUUGACUUUCUUGCACAUCAUUCUUGUGUACACACAAUUGGUGGCAUGUUGCCCUCUGUUACUUGGAAGGAGGGUCACCAAUGAGUAAAGUGAAGGAGAUUUAUGAUAAUCACAUCUGGAAAGAACUGGAGAAAGAGGACGCCAUUCCUCCAGAGGUUUAUCUCAAUGCUCUGGGUUUGUUCUUGCGUUUGGAUGUAAGAGAUGUUCUUGAUGGUUUUAAAGACCGUCUGGAACUCCUUGCUGCUCGUUUAACUGAUCAGGUAAGCCAUGCACUAGUAGGAUGACAUGUGUUCUUUUUCUCCAUAGGGUUUUUAUUGAUAUGUCGAAAUGAUUAGUUUUUUUCUCGGCCACAUGUGUGGUUUAACAUUUCAGGCAAACUGGUAUUUGGACUGGCAGCUAGACGGCUGCAGGACCUUCUCAACAUGAGAUAGGUGCAGGACAUUCUCAGACUGCUGCAGGACCUUCUCAGGCUGCUGCAGGACCUUCUCAGACGGCUGCAGGACCUUCUCAGGAUGCUGCAGGACCUUCUCAAGGGACCAGUAAUCCUCCAAUUCAACUCAUCCCAGCGAUCACAAGGAAGAAAACGGAUUUUCGGCUUCUUCCACACCCGGCUCCUUAGUCAUCCUGAGCUGGAACUGUUGUGGGUUGGGGAACCCCAUAACAGUCCAGCGCCUCAAACGGAUCCAAAGGAAAAACAACCCUGAUAUUGUUUUCCUCAUGGAGACCAAAAACCCCCACAGAGAUGGUGUGCAAGGAACUGGAGUGGCUUCAAGCUAACAACUAUUUUGCAGUUCCACCGCAUUCACCAGGAGGAGGAGGUCUGUUUCUAUCCUGGAAAAAAGACAUUGAUCUUCAGGUCUUAUCAUCAUCACACAGUUAUAUAGAUGCUACAAUCAUCUACAAAGGCAAAUCCUUCCACACUACUUUCGUUUAUGGGGAGCCAGACCAAUCUAAAAGAUAUCAAGUGUGGUGCUCUCUCUCAUCACUACAGCCGGUUUCUGUAAUUCCUUGGCUUUUAACAGGAGAUUUUAACGAGAUAGUAGAUAACAGUGAGAAAUGUGGAGGACCAGAACGAGCAGAAGGAACAUUUUGUGCUUUUAGAUCAUUUCUUUCUAAGAAUGGUCUAUUUGAUCUAAAGUUCUCGGGAAGAUACCUAUCAUGGAGGGGGAAGAGACACUCGCAUCUGGUGCUGUGCAGGCUUGACCGAUCUGUUAGCAAUAGUGAGUGGACUGAGCUAUUCCCAUCGAGCAGAAACCAGUAUCUGAAGUUUGAAGGUUCUGAUCAUAGGCCCCUGCUGACGUUUCUCGAUACAUCAAGGAAAAAGAGUGCAAAAAUUUUCAGAUACGACAGGAGGCUAAAUGAUAAUUUGGAAAUUAAAGAUCUUAUCAAGGAAAUUUGGGAGAAGAGUCCACACCUCUCUGUUGAGGACAGGCUUACGCUCUGUCGGCGAGCCAUUUGCACAUGGAGUAAACAGUUUCACGAAAAUAGCCAAAAAGCCCUCGAGGAGACAAGAGAACAGCUGGGGUCUGCAAUGUCAAGUCCCAGUCCUGAUGAAGAAUUAAUCCAUGGAUUAAACCUGAGACUACUGCACUUGUACAAAGCCGAAGAAAGCUUCUGGAAACAGAGAAGCAGACAGUUAUGGUUAGUUCUUGGGGACUCAAACUCGGGUUAUUUUCAUGCGGUGGCUAAAGGGAGAUCAGCUAAGAAUAGGUUCUCAGUGAUAACUAACAAAAAUGGUGUACCUGUCUUUGAAAAAGAAGAAAUAUCCAAAGUUAUCUCUGCUUAUUACUCUGACUUGUUUCAAUCAAGUGCUUUCGACGGUCAACAUACAAUAGCUGAAGCACUUCAACCCUGCAUCUCUGAAACACAAAAUAUCAUGCUCACAAGAAUGCCGCAGUCAAAGGAAAUUAAGGAAGCUACCUUUGCUAUCCAUGCUGACAAGGCUCCAGGCCCUGAUGGGUUUUCAGCUGGUUUUUUCCAAUCUAAUUGGGAGAUCAUUGGCUCAGCAGUCAUAAAAGAGAUCCAGGGAUUCUUCUCAACCGGCAUCCUCGCACCAUCGAUCAACAAAACACAUGUGAGAUUAAUACCUAAGAUCACAGGGGCACAGAAAGUGGAGGACUACAGACCUAUUGCACUUUGUAAUAUCUACUACAAGAUUACUCCAAACUACUGUCCCUAAGGUUAAAAUCGGUGCUAAGCUCUAUAGUGUCGGAAAAUCAAUCAGCUUUUAUUCCUGGAAGGGCUAUAGCAGACAAUGUAUUGAUUACUCAUGAGGUUCUACAGAUUCUAAAGACAUCAAA